rfam:Marine metagenome 1096626700277, whole genome shotgun sequence.
CGGCGGGACACCCCUCCCCAACGAGGGGAUAUGUUCAUCAGAGAAUUCCCUU